UUUCUUCAGGUCCCUAUUUCCUUAUGAAGGCUCCCAUGUCAGUUGCCUAUUGUUUCACUGUAUAGCUGUGCUAUGUGGACAUUUUGUUUCCAGCCUUUUGCAAGCCAAAGAGCAAUUAAUUACCUUUUCAAAAUAAUAUUCAUUCAUGCAAGGGUAUCUGCAACAAAAAGAAGUGGAUUUUCAAAAGGUUUCAAAAGAAGAGAGAGACACAGAGUGAAGACGGCCAUAGAAAGACGGAGGCAGAGAUUGGAGGGUUGCCGCCACAAGCCAAGGAAUGCCUGGGGCCGCCGCAAGCUGGAAGAGGCAAGAAAGCCUCCUCUUCUGCAGGCUGCAGAGGAAGCAUGGUCCUGCUGACAUGUUGUACUUAGACUUCCAGCCUCCAGAACGGUCAGACCAUACACUUCUAUUAUGUUAAGCCACCUAGUUUGUGGAACUUUUUAGGCAACCCUAGGGAACCCACAGACACACUGAGUAUAAGUUUAUCACCAAUAGAAAUCACGGAUGUUUUCAUGCAAGAUUAUGGUUGCUGCAGAUAUCUGCAAAUGUUGUUUAAGCUCAUCACUACUUUGAAAUUAUAGUGGUUAUUAGACCCAAAGCGAAAUAUUUUAACUUAAUUGGGUAAUAAAUAACUUAUAAAUUUGUUUUUAAAUAUUUUGAUAUUUUCAUAACUUUAUUCAAUAUAAUGAUUUUCCUUAUGAUUCUCUUUAUCUUAUGCAUUUUAAAGCAUAAUUCCGGGAGGAGGUCUGCAGGCUUCACCAGAAUGCCAAAGGGGUUCCAUUAAGUUCGGCCUGAGAUGCAGUACUCCAACAUAUCCAGAAGAGGGCACUAGAGCACCUAGGCAAAGUUUCCCAGAAAUUAACACUGAUCAUUUUACUGUAUUUCCCUAUAUUGCAGAUACAGAAAUGUGCUUUAAAUUCAUAUUGUCUUUAGAAUAUUAUGUGAUCAGAAUAUGGAAAUACUUUCAGGCCUGCCUUCCUAUUUGUUUGUUAACUUAAAUUUUCCAUACCAUUUUUUCCUUAUUUUUUUUUUAUCGAGGUAAAAUAUACAUACAUAAUUUACCGUCUUUACCACUUUUAAGUGUGCAAUUCAGUGGUAAUAAAUACAUUUAUAUCUUUUUUCAUACCAUUAAAAAAUGCUGACAUGAACAGUUGGUGUUGAAGUUAUUUUUAAACUGUAGCCCAU
rnacentral:lncRNA from 1 species